AUCCAGCUGACGAGUCCCAAAAUAGGACGAAACACGCGCCCUGGAU
rnacentral:hammerhead_ribozyme from 1 species